GCUUGUCUCAAAGAUUAAGCCAUGCAUGUCUAAGUAUAAACACCUUUAUACUGUGAAACUGCGUACAGCUCAUUAAAUCAGUAAUAAUUUAUUUGAUGGUGACUUACUACAUGGAUAACCGUAGUAACCUAGAGCUAAUACAUGCACAAAUUCCCGUCAGGGAUGUAUUUAUUAGAUUGAAACCAAUGCGGGGUAACCCGGUGUUUGGUGAUUCAUAAUAACUUUCGGAUCGCAUUUGCGAUGCAUCAUUCAAGUUUCUGCCCUAUCAGCUUUGGAUGGUAGGGUAUUGGCCUACCAUGGCAUUAACGGGUAACGGAGGAUUUGGGUUCGAUUCCGGAGAGGGAGCCUGAGAAAUGGCUACCACAUCCAAGGAAGGCAGCAGG
rnacentral:rRNA from 1 species